rnacentral:tRNA from 1 species
GCAAUAGCUCAGUGGUCGAGCACUCGCUUCGCAAGCGAGAGGUCGGUGGUUCGAUCCCACUCAGGUGUA